CCUACGGGUGGCAGCAGUGAGGAAUAUUGGUCAAUGGACGCAAGUCUGAACCAGCCAUGCCGCGUGCAGGAUGACUGCCCUAUGAGUUGUAAACUUCUUUUAUACGGGGGUAAAACCAUCUACGCGUAUCAUUUUGAAUGUAUCAUACGAAUAAGGAUCGGCUAACUCCGUGCCCGCAGCCGCGGUAAUCCGGAGGAUUCAAGCGUUAUCCGGAUUUAUUGGGUUUACAGGGAGCGUAGGUGGUUGGUUAAGUUAGUGGUGAAAUUCUGGGGCUCAACUUCGAAAUUGCCGUUGAUACUGGUAGGCUAGAGUAUAGUAGAGGUAGGCGGAAUGUAUGGUGUAGCGGUGAAAUGCUUAGAGAUCAUACAGAACACCGAUUGCGAAGGCAGCUUACCAAGCUACUUCUGACAUUGAGGCACGAAAGUGUGGGGAGCAAACAGGAUUAGAUACCCGAGUAGUC
rnacentral:rRNA from 1 species